CACAACCCCAGUGCAGCAAGUGCAGCCCCGGGAGCCCCGUGCUGAGGUUUCCCAAACAUUGAGUCCACGCUGCACGCAGGGGUGAGCUGGUUUAUCGAGAGGACAGCGGGCAGGGGGUGGCAGCAUGCAGGGCAGGGCUCGUGUGUGCCCCGUGCCACCAACACAAGGUGUGCCUGCCCACCGCCACGACCUGCGGGGCCAGGGGGGCUGCACAGAGCACAGAAACCCCAGGCAGAAAGGAGACAAGUUUGGGAAGUGGCCCACAAAGUGAUGCCAUCACCCUGCCAUGAGUGAUGCUGCCAGGGGACCCCAUCCCCGCCAGCCCGCCAAGCUGCUGGGUGGUCACCGAGCCUGUCCCUGGUGGCACCAAGGAGCCCCCAGCCCUCGGCCUGGCCAUGGCUCACCCCGGUGGUCCCAAGCCCUGUGGAGCAUCCCUGUGCCGGGGCAGCCCCUGGGGACCCGAAGCGCCGGGGCCGGGGAGCCAUGGCAACCCGGCGAGGAUGGGGGUUGCCAUGGUGACGGGAGGCGCAGCAUCCGGAGCGGCUUCGGGCGAGGGAUGCUCCAGCAUUUCCCAGCACCACCAUACAGAAGGGGACAGCGGCACCGGGAACCCCGCAGCGUGCGCCCCACGGCUCUGCGCGGCCCCAUUAUGCACCAACCCUGCUGGGACUUCCCAAGGGCUCAUCCUCCGCACGGCGCCCAGCUCCGGAGCCAGGAAAUGUGGCGGGGCUGUGCCGCCAGCGUGUGCCGGCGAAGCGGGCUCGCGAGCGCUCGCAGCGAUUCCAACGCCCGGAGCUUGCGGCUGGGCUUCGCCUCCUAAGCCUGCUUCCAACUCCUUGCGCGGGGAGCAGCGAUUUGUCUGCAAAUGUAUGCGGUUAAAAUAAACGCCGAGAAUUUUAAUCCUGGGAAUUUGGAAAGUAGGAGAUUUAAAAUAACAAAACCCUUUCAUAUGGCGCUUAAUCCGAAAUUAGAUGGGGUUUUAAGUUGUUGGGUUUUUUUUUUACGGUGGUGACUGGAAGUUCCUCCGCCACCUCCUGCUCCCUGUGGGCUGGAGGCAAUUUGGGGUGCCCGGGUGGGGGCUGCUGGGGACCGGCGGCUGGCCCCCAGUGCUGGGGGCGGUGAGGGAGAGCGAGUGCUCUUCUUUGUUGACAUGGAAUGGAUCUCCCACAGCUACUUAAGGUUUUAAUUGCCCUGUGAUUAAAGUUUUCAUUACUAAGCAAUUAGCACCUGAAAUUUUAAGUGCUGAAGUGUUUAACUGCAUCCUGAAGCUUGCCAGAGGUGCGGGGUGGUGGAUGUGGGUGGGACGGGAGAGGGUUUUGAAGUGGGGAUGGGGAGCGGCGGGAGACGGCCUCCAAACCGGGCUGCCACCAGCAGUGCCGGCUGCCCCAUCCCACCCCACGGCACCCCAUUGUGUCCCAUAGCACCUCAUAGUACCUCAUCCCGCCCCAUCCACCCCGCGGGCAGCGCCGCACGGCACGGGGAGGAGCGCCCGGAGGGGCGAGCGCCCAGGCAGCCUGGGAAGGAGACAGGCUGGAGCCGGCCCUGACCCGGCGGGAGACGCCGGCUGGGCGAGCUGGCACGGGGCGGCCCUCCCUGCCCUGGGAACGGGGCCCCCCCGGGGUGCUGGGGGUGGCAGUG
rnacentral:lncRNA from 1 species